UACGAAGGGGGCUAGCGUUGUUCGGAAUUACUGGGCGUAAAGCGCGCGCAGGCGGUCUUCCAAGUCAGUGGUGAAAGCCCGGAGCUCAACUCCGGAACUGCCAUUGAAACUGUUGGACUUGAGUACGAGAGAGGUGAGUGGAAUUCCCAGUGUAGAGGUGAAAUUCGUAGAUAUUCGGAGGAACACCAGUGGCGAAGGCGGCUCACUGGUCCAUUACUGACGCUGAGGUGCGAAAGCGUGGGGAGCAAACAGGG
rnacentral:rRNA from 1 species